GCGCCCGCCCGCCCACCGCGCCAUGGCCCCGCGCGCCCGGCGGCGCCGCCCGCUGCCCGCGCUGCUCACGAUCUGCGCGCUGCUCGGCCGUCUGCAGGUGACUUUUCAGAUCACCCCUCCGUGUACCCAUGAGAGGCAUUAUGAGCGUUUUGGACGAUGCUGUCAUAAAUGUGAACCAGGAAAGUACAUGUCUUCUAAAUGCACUACUACCUCAGAGAGUGUAUGCCUGCCAUGUGGCCCGGACGAGUACUUAGACACCUGGAAUGAAGAAGAUAAAUGCUUACUGCAUAAAGUCUGCGACUCAGGCAAGGCCCUGGUGGCCGUGGAGCCCGGCAACCGGACGGCCCCGCGGCGCUGCGCCUGCACGGCCGGCUACCACUGGAGCGCGGACUGUGACUGCUGUCGCCGCAACGCCGAGUGCGCCCCGGGCUUUGGCGCGCAGCACCCGGUGCAGCUCAACAAGGACACAGUGUGCGAGCCCUGCCUUGUGGGCUCCUUCUCAGAUGCCUUCUCUUCCACAGAAAAAUGCAAACCUUGGACCAACUGUAGCGUUCUCGGAGAGACGGAAGUACGUCAUGGGACCGAUAAAUCAGAUGUGGUUUGCAGUUCUUCUCUGCCGUCUACAAAGCCACCAAAUGAAUCCAAGAUAUACUUGCCCGGUUUAAUUAUUCUGCUUCUCUUCAUAUCUGUGGCAUUAGUUGCUGCUGUCAUCUUUGGUGUUUACUAUAGGAAAAAAGGGAAAGCAGUAACAGCUAAUUUGUGGCACUGGGUCAAUGAGGCUUGCGGCCGCCUAAGUGGAAAUAAGGAGUCCUCAGGCAACAAUUUUAGCAGCACUCAUAUGGAAGCCUCUAGUCAGCGUGAAAUUUGUGAAGGUGUCUUACUGCUGACUCUGGAAGAGAAGAUGUUUCCCGAAGAUAUGUGCUGUCCAGACGGCGUUGGCCUCUGCGGCGGUGUGUGCACAGGGGGUGGUCCCUGUGCACAGGGAGAAGAUGCUGGAGUGCUCACCUUGGUCAGCGAGAUUGAGGGGGACCCCUUCAGGCAGAUGCCCACGGAAGACGAAUAUGUAGACAGGCCCUCCCAGACCCCAGACUCUUCACUGUCCCUCCCUCGGCCUGGCAGCAAAUCCACACCCCCUUUCCCUGAGCCCCUGGAGGUGGGGGAGAAUGACAGUUUAAGCCAGUGCUUCACUGGGACAGAGGGCUUGGUGGAUUCUGAAAGCUGCAAUUUCACGGAGCCCCCGUGCAGGACCGACUGGAUUCCCCUAGCCCCCGAAAAGUACUUGCAAAAAGAAGUGGAGGGUGGCAAUUGCCCCCACUGGGCCGCCAGCCCCAGCUCUGCAGAGGGCUGCGCAGGCUGCAGAAACCCUCCCGGGGAGGACCGGGAACCCCUCACGCCUACCGCGAAAAGUGGACCUUUGCCCCAGUGCGCCUAUGGCAUGGGCCCCCCGCCUGAAGAAGCAGCCGAGGGGACAGGCCAGCCCACGGACGGGGCCGACGUAAGGCUUCCCGGCUCGAUGAGGGGAGGCCCGGGGUCUGGAAGCCCCUCCAGUGACCAGCCACCUGCAUCUGGAAAUGUGACUGGAAACAGUAACUCCACGUUUAUUUCCAGCGGGCAGGUGAUGAACUUCAAGGGCGACAUCAUCGUGGUCUACGUCAGCCAGAACUCCCAGGAGGGCCCGGCGGGGCCCGGCGGCGGCGGCGGCGGCGGCGGCGGCGCGGGGGAGCCGGUGGGCCGCCCGGUGCAGGAGGAGAGCCCGCCGCGCUGCGACUCGUUCGCGGGCCUCGGGCCGCGCUUCCCCGACCCAUGCGCUGACCUGGAGGCGCGCCCGGGCGGGGGGCUGCAGGAGUGCGCCUCCCCGGGGCCCGACAAGGCCUCGCGGCCGGUGCAGGAGCAGGGGGAGGCCGACAAGGGCGCGGCAAGGGCGCGGCGCUGAGCGGCGGGUGACUCGCGGCGGACCUCGGGGCCAUCCAGCCCGGGCUCGGCGGGCACCACAGGGGCCGCGCGUUCCUACUUGGAGGCGGGGAGCCGCACGCACCUGCGCCUGGGCGGGACCGGGGCCAGGGGCGGCCCGGGAGGAGGCUCGCGCGCCUGUGCCCGGGCGGGGCCUGGGGACGGAGCGCACCUGCUCCCGGGCGGGGCCUGGGGGCCGCGCGCACCUGCUCCUGGGCGGGGUCUGGGGAACCGCGCGCACCUGCUCCUGGGCGGGGCCUGGGGACUGCGCGCACCUGCUCCUGGGCGGGUCAGGGCGGCAGCCCGGAUCUGCGCCCAGACGCCCCUCUCUUCGGUACAUCGUCAAAUUACCUGACAUUCUCCACCUAUCUUGCUCUUUAUACAAUCGGGCACUUUUUAAAAACCUGCAUUUGUGGUCACCAUUCACUGUUACCCACAGUCACGUAUCAACUGAUGACACGGGUAGGCGUCGCUCCACUUUUUACCUCCUUUUAGGGUUUUCCUCCAUCCCCUCCCAUUCCCCAUUAUCAUUUCAUCAGUAGUUUGUCUCUUUAUGGCAUCUGUUUCAGUGAUUGUUCUGUUCUUUUUGGGUCUCCCCCCCCCCCGCCAUAUUUGUAUUUCACUUCCAUAACAUUUUUCUUGAUACAACCCCCCCCUUUUGUUUUUACUCUGUAACGAUUUUCUUGAAAAUUAUCCUUAGGGUGCUGGUCUUCUUUACAUAUAUUUGCACCCCUUCUUGCAAGUAGGCUCCCUGUGUUUUGGUGACGGCUUUUUUGGGGGGGUAGGGAGGUCUGUACUAAGCACUUUUGGGAAAAGGCUAGGGCUGUGAAGCUUGGAGGGAGGCUCAGGGAGCAAAUGGAGUGACUUUUUGUUUUUGAAAUUUUUUCUGUGUUCUCGUUUUUUUAGAGGAAGGAAAAAGGGAAACCCUACUUCCCCCUGAAUGUUUUUAAGACUCUGUCAAUCCUCAGGCAGAACUAAGUGAUAGUGUGUCCUUCUUUCCCCACUCCCAAAAUGGUUCACCCCUGAGGUGAAUGUAUUUAUUCAUUCCAGUAGAGGCGGUCAGGUCCUAGCUGAAUCUCUAAAGAUCCAAGUUGCUGCAGCUUGGUGUUCUUACUUUAAACAGAAUCCUCAUAUUAUGCAUUUAAGAAAACUUACCACAGAGACACUUUUCUCUUAGACCAGCCCUCUCGUGAGGAAACGCACAGCAGGAGUCAGAUUGAAAGGAAUUACCUGGGUUGGUCCAUCCGUUGUGGCGAGUAUUUAGCCUCCUCAGAUGCCAGGGGCCACAGGUGCCCAGCUGAAGGAGUGGCCAUCAUUGAUUUCUCCCUACUGGUUGCAGAUCUCUUGGAAAUGCUGGAAAGCUAGCAGCCAGUUAUGAAUUUUAAUGGAGAAGCAGAGGGUGGCUCUAUAAUUUAUGGGAUUCCUUUGCUGGCAAAAAACAAAAACAAAAACAAACAAAAACCCUGCAGGAAGUAAUUGCAUUGCCAGGAUGAUUAGUUUAUGGGAAUUUAUUAUCUGUUCUGCCCAUUUUGUUAACAUCCAUCCAAAAAGAGAUGUUAUGGGGCACCUGGGUGGUUCAGUCGGUUAAGCAUCUGACUUCAGCUCAGGUCAUGAUCUCAUAGUUUGUGGGUUCAAGCCCCACGUCGGGCUCUGUGCUGACAGCUCAGAACCUGGAGCCUGCUUAGGAUUCUGUGUCUCCUUCUCUCUCUGCCCCUCCCCUGCUCAUGCUCUGUCUCUCUCUCUCUCUCAAAAGUCAAUAUUAAAAAUUAAAAAAGAUAUUACAAAAGUGGAAGAAACCAUUAUACCUUUUGAUAUAGAAUGUAUUAAACAGACAAAAUAUGGUUCACAGAGUAGAAUGCUGAGCUAAAGACCCAAGUUUCUGCUAUGACUGUUAUCAUCUCACUGAUGCUACUUUUAGCAUUCUGCGCUUUCAUUUUUCUUUCUGUAAAAAAGCACUAGUGAUCAUUUUUGACACUUUCCUCACCCAGAGAUAACAAAAGGAUGCUACAGUGAAUGUUAAAGUAUCUUGAGCUCCUUAAAUAAAAGGUGCUAAAUAAAUACAUAAGAAUCUACUUGCAGAAAAAGGUAGUAUUCUUUCCUACCCUGAUCCCUACAUUCUAUAUUGAUCCAAACACAAUUAAAUGGUAGAAAUGUAUAGCAAAACAGGUCCGUAUCUGUGUAUUACAGAGAUGUUUGUGACAAAUGUAAACGGAAUAUAAUGAAGACAAUAAUGAAAAAUUGGGGAAUGUGACAAAGAGAUUAUUAAACUUAUAUUUGACCAUAAAAAAAAAUUUUUUUCAUGGCUUGUUUAAACAGGGCUCUUUGUAAGGUAAUGGUGUGACUUACUCCUGAUCUCUAAGUUGUGCUGUGGUGUUGGUUAUAUUGUGUCUUAUUGGUCGAACCCUCAACAACAGAGUUGGGACAGAAAUUGCUUGGCUUUGAUGGUAUAUCUGCUGUUGAUCUCAUAAUAAGAAAAUUCUUUAAAAUACAGGCUGGCUGUGCAGUGAAAGAGUUGAAAUGGAUUCUAGGGUCUCCUACCCACAUUUAACCCAGCUACCAGAAGAAGGAAGAAUUCACUUCUCUCUCUACCUUGUGCUUUUUAUGCCUGGGCCCUGAGCACCCCUGAGAAAGGGGCUGAAGCCAGCUGGAGAGUCCUGAGGCAUCUGGGGACAUCCUAGGGAGUUAGCGAAGACUUUGGACAUUGCUGUGCUCACCAGAGGAGCUUCUAG